UUAGUAUUCCCUCCGUCCCAAAAUUCUUGUCUUACAUUUGUUUAGAUACGGAUGUAUCUAACACUAAAAUGUAACUAGAUACAUCCGUAUUUAGACAAAUUUAAGACAAGAAUUUUGGGACGGAGGGAGUACAAA
rnacentral:pre_miRNA from 1 species